rnacentral:rRNA from 1 species
UACAGGGGGUGCAAACGUUGCUCGGAAUUAUUGGGCGUAAAGCGCGCGUAGGCGGCUACUUAAGUCGGAUGUGAAAGCCCUUGGCUCAACUGAGGAAGUGCACCCGAAACUGAGUGGCUUGAGUACGAAAGAGGGUCGCGGAAUUCCCGGUGUAGAGGUGAAAUUCGUAGAGUAUCGGGAGGAACACCGGUGGCGAAGGCGGCGACCUGGGUCGAUACUGACGCGAUGCGCGAAAGCGUGGGGAGCAACAGGAU